GUCUAUGAGCAUGCCACCCUUAACAUGCCCAAUCGCGUCUGAUCUCGGAAGCUAAGCAGGGUCGGGUCUGGUUAGUACUUGGAUGGGAGACCACAUAAGAAGACCAGGUGCUGUGGGCA
rfam:Pteropus alecto contig87843, whole genome shotgun sequence.